AGAGUUUGAUCCUGGCUCAGGAUGAACUUUGGCGGCAUGCCUAAUACAUGCAAGUCGAACGAGAGACCUUCGGGUCUCUAGUGGCGAACGGGUGAGUAACACGUAGGGAACCUGCCCGCGCACCGGGAAUACGCUCUGGAAACGGAGAACAAAUCCCGAUGUACAGGAAGGAGGCAUCUUCUUUCUGUGAAACAUCCUUUAGGGGAUGGGGCGCGGAUGGACCUGCGGUGCAUUAGUUGGUUGGCGGGGUAAAGGCCCACCAAGACGAUGAUGCAUAGCCGGCCUGAGAGGGCGGACGGCCACAUUGGGACUGAGACACGGCCCAGACUCCUGCGGGAGGCAGCAGUAGGGAAUUUUCGUCAAUGGGCGCAAGCCUGAACGAGCGAUGCCGCGUGAGUGAAGAAGGCCUUCGGGUCGUAAAGCUCUGUUGCGGGGGAAAAAAGGCAGCAUCAGGAAAUGGGUGCUGACUGAUGGUGCCCCGCCAGAAAGUCACGGCUAACUACGUGCCAGCAGCCGCGGUAAUACGUAGGUGGCGAGCGUUAUCCGGAAUGAUUGGGCGUAAAGGGUGCGCAGGCGGUCCUGCAAGUCUGGAGUGAAACGCAUGAGCUCAACUCAUGCAUGGCUUUGGAAACUGGAGGACUGGAGAGCAGGAGAGGGCGGUGGAACUCCAUGUGUAGCGGUAAAAUGCGUAGAUAUAUGGAAGAACACCAGUGGCGAAGGCGGCCGCCUGGCCUGUUGCUGACGCUGAGGCACGAAAGCGUGGGGAGCAAAUAGGAUUAGAUACCCUAGUAGUCCACGCCGUAAACGAUGAGGACCAAGUGGUUGGGGGUGAACGUCAGUGCUGAAGUUAACGCAGUGAGUCCUCCGCCUGGGGGAGUAUGCACGCAAGUGUGAAACUCAAAGGAAUUGACGGGGACCCGCACAAGCGGUGGAGCAUGUGGUUUAAUUCGAAGCGACGCGAAGAACCUUACCCGGCCUUGACAUCCCCACGGAUGCAGGGCAAUGCCUGCAGCCCCUCGGGGCGUGGGAGACAGGUGGUGCAUGGUUGUCGUCAGCUCGUGUCGUGAGAUGUUGGGUUAAGUCCCGCAACGAGCGCAACCCCUGCCGUCAGUAGCCAGCAGGUAAAGCUGGGCACUCUGAUGGGACAGCCUGGGAUAACCAGGAGGAAGGCGGGGACGACGUCAAAUCAUCAUGCCCCUUAUGGCCGGGGCUACACACGUGCUACAAUGGCGUAAACAGAGGGAAGCGAGCCAGCGAUGUUAAGCAAAGCCCAAAAAUAACGCCUCAGUUCGGAUUGCAGCCUGCAACUCGGCUGCAUGAAGCCGGAAUCGCUAGUAAUCGCGAAUCAGAAUGUCGCGGUGAAUACGUUCCCGGGUCUUGCACUCACCGCCCGUCA
rnacentral:rRNA from 1 species